AUUGAACGCUGGCGGCAGGCCUAACACAUGCAAGUCGAACGAGUGGCGGACGGGUGAGUAAUGUCUGGGAAACUGCCUGAUGGAGGGGGAUCACUACUGGAAACGUUCGCUAAUACUGCAUACCAUCGCUUUUGCCCAGAUGGGAUUAGCUAGUAGGUGGGGUAAAGGCUCACGUACGCGACGAUCCCUAGCUGGUCUGAGAGGAUGACGAGCAGAACUGGAACUGGAGCAGGGUACAGACUCCUGCGGGAGGCAGCAGUGGGGAAUAUUGCACAAUGGGCGCAAGCCUGAUGAAGACAUGCCGCGUGUAUGAAGAAGGCCUUCGGGUUGUAAAGUACUUUCAGCGGUGAGGCGUUACCCACAGAAGAAGCACCGGCUAACUCCGUGCCAGCAGCCGCGGUAAUUC
rnacentral:rRNA from 1 species